CUUAGUGAAAGGGGGUGUUAUUGAACGUUUUCUUGACUUUUAUAGAUCACGUAAAAUGUUAUCCAGGAACUUUCUGAAGUAAGAUUAGGCUACAUGAGACGUUUAUUUGUCCUAACUUAAUUCAGUUUUGAUAUUUACAUAGAUGUUUGAUUGCUCUAGUCUAGGGGCGCAUUCGUUGCAGCCUUGAGAAUGGCAUUUUCUCUCGGCAACUCCCUAGUCAUUAUCUGAACACUACAACAAAGUAAUCUAACUGUACUGUAGUCUACAACAUUUCAUGUAAUACAAAGAAACGAUAGCUUCCACAAUGGAUCGGGACAAAUCUAGCCCGUCCCCCUCCACCCUCCAGGAGUCCCCAGGUCGACCGCCUCCCGGUACUUUACUGCUGGGUCUGGUCGACUGCAGGAAAACACCGGGGCAGAGUGGAACUGAGCGAGGAGAAGGAGAAGAAGAACAUGGAGAUUUGAUUUCAUUAAGGGACAGCCCUAAUCUUUGCUCUGUCAGUGGGAGGGGCUUAUCAUCUGGGGAGCUUCAACAACAUCAUGAU